ACGAACGCUGGCGGCGUGCUUAACACAUGCAAGUCGAGCGGUAAGGCCCUUUCGGGGUACGACGAGCGGCGAACGGGUAGGAGUAACAACGUGGGUGGACCUCGCCCUCCAGCUCUGGGAGUAAGACCGUCGGGAAACCGGGGUACCGUAAUAACUGGAGUAUGACUCCAUGACGCAUGUUGUGGGGUGGAAAGCCUUGUGCGGCUGAGGAUGGGCCCGGCGGCCUAUCAGCUUGUUGGUGGGGUGAUGGCCUACCAAGG
rnacentral:rRNA from 1 species